AUACCUGUGAGCUUACUUUAUACAGGACCCCUUUUUCCCUCCACACUGGACUGAACUGAAAGUUUCUUCUCCACCUGAUCAGUUCAGCAGCCACCUGAGAUGGAAAUAAUUAGAUGUAUCUUAGGUGUCCACUCGCCUCAAACAAAUCCAAAGUCAUCUUCAGGGCGGCUGCCUCCCAGUGACCUUCUGGGCUGACCUUGCCUCUGAAGAACUAGAAAAACUGCCUGCUGACUGCAUUGGUCAGUGAAGCAAGGACACCUCACCCACUCCUGCCCAUCAUGGCUUUCCCUCCACGCCAGCUGGACUGAGCUACCGCACACAAAUACCUUGGGGCCUUCAGUCUUCUAUUUGACACAUUGAGGGGAACAUUGAUCGCGGUGACAGCGUGGCCAGACCCUUCCUGCUCUCCCAUCCAGAGUGGGGCUGAGUUCCUUCCCUUUCUGGCGGGGCAGCCUGGGCCUGGCGCCACUUCCCUCUGGGUCAAUAACUUCCUCCCAGGCCACUCCUGAUGUGGCUACUGAAGCCGCGCCUACACCCAUCUCUUUUCACCUUUUAACAAUGUCCCUUCCUUUCCUGUCCCACCCCUUCCACCGUGGGGUCUCUGUGACUCUCAUUCCUCACUCGUUUCCCCAGAGGGCUGCAGACCAUCACCCACAGGAAAGGGGACUUUGCAGGUGUGUUUAAGUUAAGGAUCUUGGGAUGGGAUGAUUAUCCUGGGUUUUCUGGUUUAGCCCAAUGGGUCCUUAUAAAGGGGAGGUAAGCGUGUCCGGGUGGGAGAAGGGAGUGUGACAAGGAAGCAGCGGUGGGAGUGAUGUGUUUUGAAGACAUAGAAAGGGGCCGCACACCUGAGGGCCUCUAGAAGCUGCAAAAGGCAAAGAAACAGAUUCUCCCCUGGAGCUUCCACAUAGAAAUAUGGUCCUGCCAACAUGUAGAUAUUAGCCCCAUAAAACUCAUUUCUGACCUCUGACCUCCACAGCUGUAAGAUUAUAAAUUUGUCCUGUCUUGAGCCACUACAAACAUCUUUUUUUGUGGUAAUUUCUUACAACAGUAACAGAAAACUAAUUCUGAUUUAGUAUUUUUAAGAUAUAUACAUAUAUAUAUAUAUAUAUAUAUAUAUAUAUGUUUAAAGUACAAUAAAAAUUUUAAAGCUUUUUGGAAAGAGGUGAGAAAUUAUUUCAAUAAACUAUACUCCAAGGCAAGUGGAUUUGAAGUCCAUUAAGCAUCUCCAAUGGACAUGAUUAUCCUGACCCUGCAGAUUGCUCUACUAGCCAUCCUAGUAGAAAUAUAUUAUCUAGAUGCAAAAGUCUUAAUAAGCAUAUAUAUGUGUAGAGAAACAAUAACUGGUAUGGAGAAAACCUAUUAUGAUAAUGACUUCUAAAUUUUCUUGUAAAAUCUACUUAAUGCUCAGUAGAGGUCAGUCAUGGAGCAUGGCAGAAAAAGGGAAACACAUGAAAACAAUAUAAAGAAUUUGGAGACCUGUUAAGGUUUUAUGUAUGAUUCUCAAAAUUAAGUUAGAGAUAUGCCUUGGUUAAAACACUGUAUUUAGUAUUUGAAAUACUAUGCAUUACUUUUUGUUUUUAUUUAUGUGAGUUUUUUGUAAUCUGGAUGAAAGCAUAAUUUAAAGUCAAUAAAACGUAUCCCUCUUAAGUGAAUGAUUCAAUGGGUUUGGAAAAAUAUAUGCACCCAUGAAACUACCAGCACAGUCAAGAUAUAGAACAUAUUCAUCACCCUUAAAAGUUCCUUUGGGCCCCUCGUCCAUUGUGCCCUACCCAAUGCCCCAGCCCAGGCAACCAGCACUGUAGACCAGAUUUGUUCUUUCCAGAGUUCAUGUGGUUGCAACUGUAUUUUACCUCCAACUUAGUAUCUUGGAGAGUAUUUUUUAAAAAUAUGUUUUAUUGAUUUUUUACAGAGAGGAAAAGAGAGGGACAGAGAGGUAGAAACAUCAAUCAGCUGCCUCCUGCACACUCCCCACUGGGGAUGUGCCCGCAACCAAGGUACAUGCCCUUGACUGGAAUCGAACCUGGGACCCUUCAGUCCUCAGGCCGACGCUCUAUCCACUGAGCCAAACUGG